rnacentral:rRNA from 1 species
UACGUAGGGUGCUAGCGUUGUCCGGAUUUAUUGGGCGUAAAGGGCGCGUAGGCGGCUCUGCACGUCCGUUGUGAAAUCGCCCGGCUCAACUGGGCGGGGUCAGCGGAUACGGCGGAGCUUGAGCAAGCUAGGGGGCAAUGGAAUUCCCGGUGUAGUGGUGGAAUGCGUAGAUAUCGGGAAGAACACCCGUGGCUAAGGCGGCUCUCUAGUACGGUACUGACGCUGAGACGCGAAAGCGUGGGGAGCGAACAGG